AUGGUGGCCCAGAAACUUCCUCCUUGGCAAGGCAGAAACAUCAACAUUGUUGGGAGAUCCACUCUUGUGAAGUCUGUGUUAUCCUCCCAGGCCAUCUACUACCUCACCGCGCUCGAUAUUCUAGUUGGGACCACAUAUGAUAUAGCUAAGAUUCAAAGGGCCUACUUGUGGGCCGACACAAAUAAGGUGUCAGGAGGUCAGUGCAAGGUUAACUGGAAGCUAAUUUGCAGACCCCUAAACCUAGGUGGAUUAGGAAUCCUCAACCUUACUAAGUUCUCUAGAGCACUCAGGCUUCGGUGGCUAUUGUUUCAAUGGGUGGACCCCCAGCGAGCUUGGGUUGGUUUUGACAUCCCUUGUGAUGACGAUGACCUAGAUCUUUUCUACUCUGCGACGACUCUUACAAUGGGUGAUGGCACGAAGGCGAGUUUCUGGUUCGCUCCCUGGCUACAGGGGCAAAAUCCAAAAGGACAUGGCUCCGGGUAUCUUCGCCCUUUCAAAGCGCAAGAAUGCAUGUGUGGCAAAGGCUCUGACAAACAGUGA
rnacentral:rRNA from 1 species